AUGGAUUUUCAGGUGCCAAUUUUCAGCCUCCUACUAAUCAGUGUCACAGUGUCCAAAGGAGAAAUUGUGCUCAACCAGUAUCCAGCAUCCAUGGCUGCAUCCAGGGGGGAGAAGGUCACCAUCACAUGCAGUGCUAGCUCAAGUAUAAGCUCCAAUUACUUCCACUGGUACCAGCAGAAGCCAGGAGCCUCCCCUACGCUCCUGGUUUAUAGCACAUCCUUUCUGGCUGCCGGAGUCUUAGGUAACUUCAUUGGCAGUGGGUCUGGGACUUCUUACUCUCUCACAAUCAGCUGCGUGCAAGAUGAUGAUGCUGCCACUUACUACUGUCAGCAGGGGAGUAGUAGCCCACCCGCACAGUGCUACGGACUGGGACAAAAACCUUUGCUCCCUUGGGCCUAG